rnacentral:rRNA from 1 species
GAUGAACGCUGGCGACGUGCCUAAUACAUGCAAGUCGAGCGAACGGACGAGAAGCUUGCUUCUCUGAUGUUAGCGGCGGACGGGUGAGUAACACGUGGAUAACCUACCUAUAAGACUGGGAUAACUUCGGGAAACCGGAGCUAAUACCGGAUAAUAUUUUGAACCGCAUGGUUCAAAAGUGAAAGGCGGUCUUGCUGUCACUUAUAGAUGGAUCCGCGCUGCAUUAGCUAGUUGGUAAGGUAACGGCUUACCAAGGCAACGAUGCAUAGCCGACCUGAGAGGGUGAUCGGCCACACUGGAACUGAGACACGGUCCAGACUCCUACGGGAGGCAGCAGUAGGGAAUCUUCCGCAAUGGGCGAAAGCCUGACGGAGCAACGCCGCGUGAGUGAUGAAGGUCUUCGGAUCGUAAAACUCUGUUAUUAGGGAAGAACAUAUGUGUAAGUAACUGUGCACAUCUUGACGGUACCUAAUCAGAAAGCCACGGCUAACUACGUG